UGAGGAAUAUUGGUCAAUGGACGAGAGUCUGAACCAGCCAAGUAGCGUGCAGGAUGACGGCCCUAUGGGUUGUAAACUGCUUUUGUUUGGGAAUAAUCGACAUUACGUGUAAUGUUUUGCAUGUACCAUUCGAAUAAGGACCGGCUAAUUCCGUGCCAGCAGCCGCGGUAAUACGGAAGGUCCAGGCGUUAUCCGGAUUUAUUGGGUUUAAAGGGAGUGUAGGCGGUUGGUUAAGCGUGUUGUGGAAUGUAGAUGCUCAACAUCUGACUUGCAGCGCGAACUGGCUGACUUGAGUACACACAACGUAGGCGGAAUUCAUGGUGUAGCGGUGAAAUGCUUAGAUAUCAUGAAGAACUCCGAUUGCGAAGGCAGCUUACGGGAGUGUUACUGACGCUUAAGCUCGAAGGUGCGGGUAUCGAACAGG
rnacentral:rRNA from 1 species